UACAGAGGUGGCAAGCGUUGUUCGGAAUUACUGGGCGUAAAGAGCGCGCAGGCGGCUGGGCAAGUCCGAUGUGAAAGCUUCCGGCUUAACUGGAAAAUUGCAUCGGAAACUGCUCGGCUUGAAGGUGGGAGAGGGUAGCGGAAUUCCCGGUGUAGUGGUGAAAUGCGUAGAUAUCGGGAGGAACACCAGUGGCGAAGGCGGCUACCUGGCCCACUCUUGACGCUGAGGCGCGAAAGCUAGGGGAGCAAACGGG
rnacentral:rRNA from 1 species